AACGAACGCUGGCGGCAGGCCUAACACAUGCAAGUCGAGCGAGGACUUCGGUCCUAGCGGCGGACGGGUGAGUAACGCGUGGGAACGUGCCCUUUGCUACGGGAUAGCCCCGGGAAACUGGGAGUAAUACCGUAUGUGCCCUUCGGGGGAAAGAUUUAUCGGCAAAGGAUCGGCCCGCGUUGGAUUAGGUAGUUGGUGGGGUAAUGGCCUACCAAGCCGACGAUCCAUAGCUGGUUUGAGAGGAUGAUCAGCCACACUGGGACUGAGACACGGCCCAAACUCCUACGGGGGGCAGCAGUGGGGAAUCUUAGACAAUGGGGGAAACCUUGAUCUAGCCAUGCCGCGUGAGCGAUGAAGGCCUUAGGGUUGUAAAGCUCUUUCAGUGGGGAAGAUAAUGACGGUACCCACAGAAGAAGCCCCGGCUAACUCCGUGCCAGCCGCCGCCGUAAGAC
rnacentral:rRNA from 1 species